rnacentral:lncRNA from 1 species
GGGGAUGUGUUCUCUCAGAGAAGUCAGCAACUGACUAAACCAAGUGACCACAGUCUGGGGUAGGCUCACAAAGGCCCAGUUCUGAUGAAUGCCCCCAUAAAUAAAAGGGUUACACUUUUUGCUGGCAUAAUUCCAAGAACUUGUGCUUUAUGGCUUCCUCUUAAACUAGUCAAAAGAAGCUGUUCCAUGCUUUAAUACCUAUGUACUAAGCUGGUUUCCCAGCCACUGUUUUGCUUUUGUUUUUUCCCAGAAAACUCGGAGGCCCCAGAGUAUAUGUAACAGAUUCAGUGCAUCCUUGGAAGACCUUUUCUACCUUCCCGAUUGUGACUUUUUUUCAUAGCUUCUCUGCAGUGCUUACCAUACAACCAAAUUAGUUCACUGAAUUGAGUAUGCUCUGUGUGAGAUGUGAGCAAAACAAAAGCUGCUGGGAACACAGUAAGUACAAAAUAAGAUGUGAAAUCCUUCCACCCUUACAAACAAACAAGACCCAAAACUAGGAUCUUGGGUUUGAUAUUUUGUGGCUCUUUUAAAAUUCCAAAAUAUUCCUUUUGCGUUAAAUAGGGACAGUGUAAUGCUCAAAAUUGGGUUAAAGAUCAAGGAUUCCAAGUAAAUCCAAAAUAAAGAUGAUUGAAAAGAGCUAAAGAAUUGUUGGGCUGCAGCAGCCAGGCAAUUUUGGUGAAUUUCCAGGAAUUCCAACUUUUUGGUUGGGUUUGUUUUGUUAAUAAUAUACCCCUUAUAGCAGAAAAACUUAGGUCCAAAAGCACAACUCACAAACAAGACCUUCAGUGUAAUGUUUUUAUUCUUCCCAGAGGAGCAAGAUUGCUGAGAGCCUAUCCACUUGGCCACUUAAAAACUAGUCACCAUGCAGAAAGUGCAUUCUUAGAAUGCCUCAUGGAGUGACUCUUCUGUCUAUGAGGUGUUUUUAUCUUGUAUGGACUUUAGUUUGGGAUGCAAGUAGUCAGGAAUGUCUAAG